rnacentral:rRNA from 1 species
GACGAACGCUGGCGGCGUGCCUAACACAUGCAAGUCGAAAGAUGAACUUGGAGCUUGCUCUCGGGGAUUAGCGGCGAACGGGUGAGUAACACGUGAGUAACCUGCCCUGGACUCUGGGAUACCCUCGAGAAAUCGGAGCAAAUACCGGACAGGACCUGGCACCGCAUGGUGUGGGGUGGCAAGUUUUUCGGUGUGGGAUGGACUCGCCGCCUAUCAGCUUGUUGGUGAGGUAAUGGUGCACCAAGGCGUCCACAGGGUGCCGGCCUGAGAUGGUGACCGGCCACACUGGGACUGAGACACGGCCCAGACUCCUACGGGAGGCAGCAGUGGGGAAUAUUGCACAAUGGGCGCAAGCCUGAUGCAGCAACGCCGCGUGCGGGAUGACGGCCUUCGGGUUGUAAACCGCUUUUAGUAGGGAAGAAGCCUUCGGGUGACGGUACCUGCAGAAAAAGGACCGGCUAACUACGUGCCAGCCGCCGCAGUAAGAC